UGAACUGCAUACAUUAAUGUGACUAAACAUAUAACUGGCAUCCAGGCAGAGCUGCAGUGUGAAGUCUGGAGUGUGACUGAUGGAGCAGGUAUUUAUAUAUAUGUGUGAUACCUUUUUCUUUAUCUGUGUGACUCAUAAUUUGCUGUAACCAGAUUUCUCUCCAGGGUCUCCUUGCUUUCAGAAAACAAUACAAGAAACAUAAAGUAAAAUUGAAAGGCUCCGCCGCUCCUGCACAUUCACGGCUCGGUGACGUGACCCUGGGUGGCGUCUGCCUGUGUGUGAGGCAGAACAGAGGCCGCUGAUGGGCUGAAGUCAAAGCCUGAAGGGUGCUGGGAGAACGGAGGUUUUGUCUCCUCCCAAGCUCUGCUCCUCUCGCAGGCCUUACAUCUGCUCCGUCCUGAGGAUGGAUGAAGGCGAGCGUGCAGCCAGGAACUCGGGACAUCAAUCGCGGCGGCAUUGGCAAAGUUGAGCGCUGAGCAGUUCCGUGAGUGAUGCCACUAGGAGGCUCCACUGCAGGUGACCCAGGAGGGCGGAGCUCAGAACUGCGAAGCAGCGAGGACUCGCCUCAACUUCGCAAAAGUUUCUACAGAUCUUUCUGGGGAGUUUUAACUACAGAAACGACUUUGCCCGUGUUGACUUACUUUCAGACCAUCACCUGUAGGAUUUGUGUGUGAUUCUUCCUUCAUCUGAGCAUCCGAAUCAGAUGCAAUCUUUAAUAGUCAAUGAGAAAUGUGAAUGUAUAGAAUGUUAUUAUUCUCAUAUACAGUAACCACAUCAUUCUGGGUUCAUGCUGUUGUUACAUUAAACCUCUAGGUUCUACUGUUGCAGGAGACUGGAUGCGACUAAGUGACUUCAUAUGUCGCGUCUUUUUCCAGACUCCUAAUGCAGCACUUUUUCAUUAAGUUGCCUCGGAUGAUAAACUGUGCCGAGCAGCAUAUAUUACAUAGUUCAUUUCAGCUUGUUUACAGGUAAACUGCACAGAGUCAGGUCUAUGUACUUACAUCCACGCUAGAUUUACGUUCGGAGUGCUUGCAGCACUCAAUCCAUUAUGUGUAAUUAUGCAGUCUGUGUGUAAUGGUGAACGCUUGUGUGUGUGUCUGAAUGUAUACGUCUGCAUAUGUAGAAUACAAUCAAUGCCAAUUUAAUGCAUUGCAUGCACUUUAGCUUUAUUCAAAUGUGUCAGAUGGAAGUAUAACAAUGCACAGCAGCUUGUGUGUUCAGUUGCUGUUGUGUGUUUUAAAAGAGAAAUGCUUUUUUUUGUUUCGUUUCACUUUCUUUUCCUUUUCUCACUCUGUCAUUGUACUUUGCAGGGCUCUACUUUUGCUCUACACACACACACACACACACACACACACACACACACACACACACACACACACACUGGUGGUAAUGAAGUAGGUAAUGUACACCAGCUCUCAAAUGCAACACAAUUACAACAGAUUACGCAGCAAUGGCUUCCACAUGGUUCGCAGAAAGUGAAAUUACCAACCUCACAGUGUGCAUCUAAGUGUUUUAUUGUGUGUGUGUGUGUGUGUGUGUGUGUGUGUGUGUGUUUUAGGCUUUGGGUUGGACCACCUCCAACAAGGCUACACUACAUAUAUAAAAUGGGACAAGGGUGGAUGGAAGCAGGAGGUUAAGGGGUGAAGAGGUGAUGAGACAGAGGAGGAAAGAGCAUCAUGGAUGGCAGAUGCACCACAGCCACUCCAGGAUGAAUUCCCCGCUGCAGCUAAACCUACUUUACUUAAACAUGAGCCUGAGCCUCGGCGAGGAUGCCAGCGACGAGCAGCGUUCUGCAGGCGCCAGUGAAGCCCGGCCAACACCUUGAAAAGCGGCCGCCUCUCUACAGCGUGGGUGAUCACGAGCUCGGGCUUCGGCCGGACCCGGCAAAAGAACCACCCAUCUGCUUGUAGUCUCAUAUGAAAUUCAUUCUGUAAGACAGACAUAACAGGCGAAUUAUUUUUACAUGCUCUGCCAGAGAGCACGGUUCAACAUACUCCAUUAAUGGAAGCAACGUGAUGGACACUUGUGUCUGAAACACUUUGGAACACAAGCGCAACGAGCGCAUGAAAUUUUAGUGUGGCUGGCUGCCACAGAACCAGAGUCUUAUGAAAUAUGUACAGCAUGUGCACAAGUCAGUGUUUUCACAGGAAGAGAAGCAGAUGAGACGCAGCACAACAAAUCACAACGAAUCAGAAAAGCCAGAUGGAAAUUCAGACACUGCUGCAAAGCACAAAGACCCGACGUACAGAAAGCAGCAGGUCCAACGAGACAGCGUUGCCACAGAAAAGCAACUACGUGUACUUCUCUAACAUUAACGAAGUAUAAGAAACUUUGAAAUACUACAAAAGAAAAAGAUUAGACGAGAAUGAUGAGAAAUCAUAGAAGAAGAGUUGACGUUUGCACCUGGGCAGGUGAGCGAUGGAAUCACCCUUCAACCAACCGCAGGAGAGCAGCCGCAAUCAAUCCCUCAGCACCGACAGCAAAGCACCAAUCACACGGCAGGGUAGAGGAAGGCCACGCCCCCUCCCCAGCUCCGGCCCAACGUUCACGCACAGGCGCGCACAUCCACCCAGUACAAACCAUGUGCGUUUGGUUAAAACCUCAGACUUUCUCCUAAGAUGAACUCACACGGGUUUCAUGCUCCUUUUUUUCGCUCCACAACAAACAAACAGACAUUUCUCAGCUCAUUUUUCCUGUGUUUUCCCCACCACAUUCCCAGGCUGUCCCACAGCAGCCCCAGUGUUUUACAACAGAGUAACAUAUCAGAUCUAACCCAAACCAGAACCCCGAACUGCGGCCGCAACCGCAGGAGUAAAACAAUGCGAGGCUCCGGGGACACCUACAAAUGCAGGACAUACAUGACCUCUCUGUGUUUGUCAGACUUCAUUUUAUUUUGUCCCCUUUUCACUCUUAGAAUCUCUGUUCUUGUCGUCUGGCUUUCUUUAGCCCGUGGUGAUCUGUGGUAGACCUCAGACUAUUGUGUUGCAAAUGUGAAAGUUUUCCUAAAUAGACCUGAGUCUAUUCCAUUUACAGCGGAGCGAGGCCACAGACUGAUGUUUAGAGACUUACGGGUUUCUUACAUGUAUUUUCAUUUAUAUUUUUACUUUAACUUUAAGCCGCGAAUAUCCCGUUUCUCUAUUUUUGUACAUGAACGUGCUUCAAAUAACCGGUAGUGUCCCAGUAGCAUCAGAUCUGAAGCAGUUUUAUUGCCCAUUGAGCUGCAUCACCUUGUAAACUUGAGAACAGUCAGAACGUGUGCUGCCACUAACUCAAAUCUGAAAUGGUUUUAUUGCAGAUUUCAUACUUUAUUUUACAUGAUAGAUGAGUCAUGCCACCAAGGAGGCAUAACCGCCUCUAACUGCUUCUGUGGCUCAGGGUUUACUGUAGAUAAUUGUACUCUGCCGUCAGUGGCCGAGGCUCAAAUCUGAGCUUUGGCUGAUUUAACAUGAUGUGUGUUACCACCAAAAACCUUAUUGCAGAUUUCACAACACAUUGUGACUCUUCUCCUUCAUGUGAAACAACUUUUUUACUACAUACUCUGGCGUGUCCUUAACAUUUCAUGCUCCCUGGCUGCGCCCUCCUCCUCCAUGGGGAUUUGUCACAAUGCAGAGAUAAAUGUCCUUCAGUGCUGCAUUAAUGCAGUAAACGCUGGAUGCUUCACUUACUUUUCUAGAACUAUUAUAAAAGGGUGGAAAACACUUUCUGUGCUGCUUCAUCUUGUGCAGGACUUGGAGGUCAGCGACCGACUCGCUCUGGCCUCUCACGUUUCUGUUGUCAUAUUUCUGGGAAUUUGAUGCAAUGUUUGGAAACCAGGCUGCAGUCAGGCAGGGUGGAUCUCAGGAGCUCAGUUUCAGCGUGUCUGUGUGCGUGCACGUCUUGUGUCCUCACUAACUGCCUCAGCAGAGAUGACUGUGUCAUUAGAGCAUCCAGGGUGCGAGAGCUCUCGCUCUCUCUUAUCGGAUCCUGUUUCCUCUGGACGCUCACAGAUGUGGACCUGCUGCCAUUCAUGGUGCAGCUCUGGGCUCAGUCUAUGCUGCCUGCAUGUUUGGCCAGAAAGGAAAAAGCGCACACAUUUGACGGUGCCCAAAACAAGCUUUUACUUUAUUUCUCUGGCACAUGCACAUCUGGCACAUUUGCAGUGUGGAUAAUUUGUGCACACAGUCAGCACAGGGUCGUUUCAUGCAAACACUGGACCAUCCUCACUUUGCUAAAACACUAUGUUCUUCUCUCUUCUGAUGUCAUUUGGGAGUGGAUUCAUGGGCGGAGGGGCUGCACACACACACCCUCACACACAGAUCUGGUGGAGUGUUAAUGGAGAGUUAUGGGUUUUUAAUGCCUCACGCUUUGGCUGAUCCGGGGAGAAAAGUCAGUCCAAGUCGCUGUUAAUCAAACGGUGUCACUGCGUUUGUGUGGGCCUCACGAACGCAAUUCAAAGCGAGGGUCACGUUGAUGCAGCUAAUCAGGAACGUUGAGUGAGAGACUGAGAGGAAACAGCGGAGAGUAAGACAGAGAAGAGAAAGAGUCUGGGGGGUAGAAGAAGAUGACAACACAGAUACAGAGUGAGAGUGAUGUAAAAAAAAGAAUAAUGACUUCCAUAUGAGAAUGUUGGAGCUUUUUCCUGCUUGCUUCUCAGUGUAAUCAUAUCAGCAGUCGAGCUGUUUCCAGCUUUAAGAAAUGUGAAGUAUGCAACGAGUUUCAGGAUCCAACUUCGCUUAAAUAAACAGAAAAGCAGGUCUGCUGGACCCGAGUGUGCGAGACGGCGAGUAUACGUCCUAUUUGCUUUACAGGAGUUAGAUGUGGAGUCAUGAAUUUCAGGUUUCAGAUUAAUGAUGGUUGAUGAUUUCUUCAGGUUCAGACCAGCGUCAGGACAAACGUGACACCUGUAAAUGGGUCGGUGUCGUCAGGUAAAGCUGCACUUUUUACCCUUAGACAAAGUGUUAAGCACUGAAUGUGUCUUAGUGUAGAGUUGAACACUUUUAGUUCAGAAAACAAAUUUUGUUUCUAAUUCCAAAAAACUAAAAUGAACUGAAACAUUGCGGAGAAAACAAAUUAAAAUUUAUAGUUUCACAUGAGACAGGCUCCGACAGCACAGAGGGGUUAAAGUCCACAGCCCCUCGUGAACUGCGCAUGGAUGUGAGGUCUGUGAUGGUAUGUGGCUGCGUUUACUCGGACAGGAGGCCAGCAGCAGAUCAAGCCUCGCCCCGCGCUCGGUGCAACACACUCAGGCCACGGUUCUCCAAAAGCGCCUCCUGGGAGCCGCUGAGGGGGUCAGCGGAGGCAGCAGACCUCCUGCCUGAGUCCUGAGCUGGCAGCGCAACAUCAGAGGGCUGCACUUAGAAAAGCUAGGGAAAAAACUGUAAAAACACUGCAGAUGUGUACAGUAUGUGUGCAUCUCUCUGCUCAAAUACUCACAAAUUAGCUAAUAUUAGGAGUUGAGUUACAACUUCUUACUCUGUGCACCAACUUCUCCUCUGGCUCAGUGGGCAGAGACAUUAUUCAAAUGGCUUGGAUUCAACAGCAACACUCAGGAUGAUAGAGGGAUUAUGGAGGAGUGAGCUCUGCCCUGGGAGGUUAAUGUGAUACAGUGUAAAUAAAAACACUUUUCAAUACUUUUUAUUCUUGAUUAAAAUGUGAUUCAAAACAUUUAGAAAUCUAUUCACUCAGUGUUGGACUAGAUUUUAGGUAAUGAAGUAUAAGAUAAGAAACAGAUGUGACACGUUUUCAUGAGAUUUUAGUGAAAGUGGUUGAUCAAAUUUUCAUUUAAAUUUAAUAAAACAUAAUUUUUCCAAUUGGUGAAAAAUCGGAUUCCUUCUGUUUAACAUUUGAACCUAACGUUGUCUUGUUAUAGAUCUAUUGUGUAAAAAAUCCAGAUGUGUGCUGCACAAGGUUCACAUAUUCCAGCCACAUGGUGACAUCAUAGAAUGUUUAUAAUCCCUGUAAUG